rnacentral:lncRNA from 1 species
AGUAAUUAUAGGAUAAAUUAAUAUAAAAUUCAAGUAAAAAAUUAUUAAAGAGUCUAAAAUAUUAAUCACAAAGUAUCUAGUUAAAUCCGAUGCAUUAAUUUUCUUGGAGAGAUAUUGAGGUUAAUACGGAAGCACUAAGCCUUAUGUGUGAUAUUGGAUUCCAGUUUGAGACCAGGUUCAGUAGUCAAGGACUCUGAACUGAUUGUUAUUUAUGGUCGUAUAGUUUAAGAACAUGAAUAAUAACGACCUAAGAGUACUGAGUGAUUGUAUGUAUUCUUUUACAAUAUUGCAUUGUAAUUGAUUAAUUACUACUUCCACCCUUAGCUAGUUGGUGACCUGAUGUCCUCCAUGAAAAUAAUGUAAACAGCUACACGUGUACGUUUGUAAUCAGUAAAAUAUAAAUUAUAUUUAAUAACCGGUAAUAAAAUUUCAAAGACAAGUCUAGUCAUGAGUGUGUGUGCGUAUUAUGUAAACUCAUUGAAUACAGUAUUGAGCGUCACUGACAAUUGAAUGAGUUAUGUAAACACACUGAAUAUGGUAAUGAGGGCCUAGUGAUGGUUGCAUUGUUAUUGUGAAAAUUGUAUAGUAUGGAAUUAUUGUUUUAUUGAUAUAUCAUUGAUUUUAUUUAAAUUUUGCAUUAAGAAAAUGUUUUCAAAACAUAUUUGUGUGACUUUAAUAUUGUUUAUCUUACGAAGUAUUGGAACUCACCCAAAUCCGACCUCCUACAAAUGCAGAUUUUGAUGAGUAUGUUGAUAAAUGUUACUUAGAUUCCUUUCAAGAAGAUUAGUUAUAGAAGCAGACCGUGUAUUUUGUUGAACUUUAGAGGCUAGUAUAUUUUCUUGUAUAGGUUAUCUCUUUAUUUGUAUAUAAGUGCAACUAAUCUGAUGUCUCAAUAUACAGUUUUUGUAUUUUGUAUUGGGAUGUAUAAUUCCACUGCUAUGUAUGUGUUUUACUUUAUGUUUGCUCUGUUGGACAUUGGUGCCCUGAUUGGCAUUAGGACGUCACAAGAAAUGGUGGAAGAAAUUUUAGGAAUAGUGAACGGUAUAAAAUAAAAAGAGGGGAUACGAGUAAGAUCAGACAAUAUAAGAAGGUAAGUUGAAACCUUAUGGAGAGAGUUUAGGCAAGGUUAACAGAAAUGAAAUAAGCUUUAUGAGAGAGUAUAGAACUUCAGGUAAUUUGUGAGAAGAGUUAGAUGAUUAAGAAGAUCUAAUCAAACAGGAGAGGGGGAU